rnacentral:tRNA from 1 species
GAACAUAUUGCUUAGAGGUCAGAGUGCUUGGAUGGCCAAGAGACGCGGGUUUAAUUCCUGCUACGUUCG